rnacentral:rRNA from 1 species
GACAGAGGGGGCAAGCGUUGCUCGGAAUCACUGGGCGUAAAGGGCGCGUAGGCGGCCCUCUAAGUCGAACGUGAAAUCCCCGGGCUCAACCCGGGAACUGCGUCCGAUACUGGAAGGCUUGAAUCCGGGAGAGGGAUGCGGAAUUCCAGGUGUAGCGGUGAAAUGCGUAGAUAUCUGGAGGAACACCGGUGGCGAAGGCGGCAUCCUGGACUACUACUGACGCUGAGGAGCGAAAGCCAGGGGAGCAAACGGG